rnacentral:rRNA from 1 species
AUUGAACGCUGGCGGCAGGCCUAACACAUGCAAGUCGAGCGGCAGCGGGAUAAAGCUUGCUUUCUUGCCGGCGAGCGGCGGACGGGUGAGUAAGGUAUGGGGAUCUGGCCGAAGGCGGGGGAUAACCACUGGAAACGGUGGCUAAUACCGCAUAAUCUCUAAGGAGCAAAGUGGGGGACCUUCUGGCCUCACACCUUCGGAUGAACCCAUAUGAGAUUAGCUAGUAGGUGGGGUAAAGGCUCACCUAGGCGACGAUCUCUAGCUGGUCUGAGAGGAUUAUCAGCCACACUGGGACUGAGACACGGCCCAGACUCCGACGGGAGGCAGCAGUGGGGAAUAUUGCACAAUGGGCGCAAGCCUGAUGCAGCCAUGCCGCGUGUAUGAAGAAGGCCUUCGGGUUGUAAAGUACUUUCAGUCGUGAGGAAGGUGUUAAGGUUAAUAGUCUUAGCAAUUGACGUUAGCGACAGAAGAAGCACCGGCUAACUCCGUGCCAGCCGCCGCCGUAA